GACGAACGCUGGCGGCGUGCCUAAUACAUGCAAGUCGAACGCUUUUUCUUUCACCGGAGCUUGCUCCACCGAAAGAAAAAGAGUGGCGAACGGGUGAGUAACACGUGGGUAACCUGCCCAUCAGAAGGGGAUAACACUUGGGAACAGGUGCUAAUACCGUAUAACACUAUUUUCCGCAUGGAAGAAAGUUGAAAGGCGCUUUUGCGUCACUGAUGGAUGGACCCGCGGUGCAUUAGCUAGUUGGUGAGGUAACGGCUCACCAAGGCAACGAUGCAUAGCCGACCUGAGAGGGGGAUCGGCCACACUGGGACUGAGACACGGCCCAGACUCCUACGGGAGGCAGCAGUAGGGAAUCUUCGGCAAUGGACGAAAGUCUGACCGAGCAACGCCGCGUGAGUGAAGAAGGUUUUCGGAUCGUAAAACUCUGUUGUUAGAGAAGAACAAGGAUGAGAGUAAAACGUUCAUCCCUUGACGGUAUCUAACCAGAAAGCCACGGCUAACUACGUGCCAGCCGCCGCAGUAA
rnacentral:rRNA from 1 species